rnacentral:rRNA from 1 species
GAUGAACGCUAGCGACAGGCUUAACACAUGCAAGUCGAGGGGCAGCGGGGGAGUAAGCUUGCUUACUUCUGCCGGCGACCGGCGCACGGGUGAGUAACACGUAUGCAACCUGCCCGUCACAGGGGGAUAAUCGGAAGAAAUUCCGUCUAAUACCGCGUGACAACACCGAGAGGCAUCUUUUGGUGUUCAAAGGAAGCAAUUCCGGUGACGGAUGGGCAUGCGUCGCAUUAGCUAGUCGGCGGGGUAACGGCCCACCGAGGCGACGAUGCGUAGGGGUUCUGAGAGGAAGGCCCCCCACACUGGUACUGAGACACGGACCAG